rnacentral:rRNA from 1 species
CGGACUUUGAGACCGGCGCACGGGUGCGUAACGCGUAUGCAAUCUACCUUUUACAGAGGGAUAGCCCAGAGAAAUUUGGAUUAAUACUUCAUAGUAUUAUUGAAUGGCAUCAUUUAAUAAUUAAAGUUCCAACGGUAAAAGAUGAGCAUGCGUCCCAUUAGCUAGUUGGUGUGGUAACGGCACACCAAGGCAAUGAUGGGUAGGGGUCCUGAGAGGGAGAUCCCCCACACUGGUACUGAGACACGGACCAGACUCCUACGGGAGGCAGCAGUGAGGAAUAUUGGACAAUGGGCGCAAGCCUGAUCCAGCCAUGCCGCGUGCAGGAUGACGGUCCUAUGGAUUGUAAACUGCUUUUAUACGGGAAGAAACCCUGGCUCGUGAGCCAGAUUGACGGUACCGUAGGAAUAAGGAUCGGCUAACUCCGUGCCAGCAGCCGCGGUAAUACGGAGGAUCCAAGCGUUAUCCGGAAUCAUUGGGUUUAAAGGGUCCGUAGGCGGUUUUAUAAGUCAGUGGUGAAAUCCGGUAGCUCAACUAUCGAACUGCCAUUGAUACUGUAGAACUUGAAUUACUGUGAAGUAACUAGAAUAUGUAGUGUAGCGGUGAAAUGCUUAGAUAUUACAUGGAAUACCAAUUGCGAAGGCAGGUUACUAACAUUAUAUUGACGCUGAUGGACGAAAGCGUGGGGAGCGAACAGGAUUAGAUACCCUGGU